rnacentral:rRNA from 1 species
AACGAACGCUGGCGGCAGGCUUAACACAUGCAAGUCGAACGCCCCGCAAGGGGAGUGGCAGACGGGUGAGUAACGCGUGGGAAUCUACCCAACUCUACGGAAUAACUCAGGGAAACUUGUGCUAAUACCGUAUACGCCCUUCGGGGGAAAGAUUUAUCGGAGUUGGAUGAGCCCGCGUUGGAUUAGCUAGUUGGUGGGGUAAAGGCCUACCAAGGCGACGAUCCAUAGCUGGUCUGAGAGGAUGAUCAGCCACAUUGGGACUGAGACACGGCCCAAACUCCUACGGGAGGCAGCAGUGGGGAAUAUUGGACAAUGGGCGCAAGCCUGAUCCAGCCAUGCCGCGUGAGUGAUGAAGGCCCUAGGGUUGUAAAGCUCUUUCACCGGUGAAGAUAAUGACGGUAACCGGAGAAGAAGCCCCGGCUAACUUCGUGCCAGCAGCCGCGGUAAUACGAAGGGGGCUAGCGUUGUUCGGAAUUACUGGGCGUAAAGCGCACGUAGGCGGGUAUUUAAGUCAGGGGUGAAAUCCCAGAGCUCAACUCUGGAACUGCCUUUGAUACUGG